rnacentral:lncRNA from 1 species
CAGUGGGUAGACAUUAGCAUAGUUGGUGUCUUUGUGAUAAAGAGAAACACCAAGGCACAAAGACAGCAACCAUAGAGACAGCUAGAGGUGACUAUCCACUGGCCAGGCACUGAGGCUUCAAAGGGGACCAGUCCCACUGGCACCUUGAUCAUGAACUUCAGCCUUCAAAGCAGAAAGAUGGAAGUUUGUAUGUUUGAACCUUUAGCCUGUGGCCCAGGCAUACUGGUCCAGGAUGGGAUGGAGGUGGGGGCCUGCAUUCAUUAGCUGCUGGAGGGCACCCCAGGCUGCUCUCCCUUUUCCCAACAAGAACUUCACUCCUUGCUAGGAUCUCCCCUCCUGUUCUCUUUGUUUCCAGAGUACAGGAGUGAAACCAUGGCUCUGGUUGUCUUGCAUCAGCCAAAUUGCUGCCUGAACCCCGGAUUGUAACUUCUCCUUCCAGAACUUACCAUAUCUCGUUCACACACAAAUUACCCCUGGGAGAUUAUAGAAAUUUAAAAAUAAAUAAAUAAACUUCUUGAGGGAUUACAAUACAAUAGUAGCCUAUAAUUCUUCUUUCAUUGCUACUGAAAGAGAAAUGGUGCCCAAUAAGUAAAGCCUUUAUUAUAUCUUAGAAGAAAGAAAGCUCUUAUUUCUGGUUCAGAGAUUCAACAUCAUGGCAUUUAUAAUUAUAUUCUGGAGUCAACAUUGUUAAAAAUUUGGGCUUUCAUGCUAAAAAGUGAUUUUUUAAAAAAAAAAUAUAUAAUUACCUACUAAUUCUUCCCAAAUGGUAUGACUUGCCUUUUUUCUCUCUUUUUUUGAAUCAUAACUCAUCUUAAACAAUCUAUUUUUUUUUCUUUUUAGAGGAAGUCUAAAAUAACACAUGGGUGUCUCGGCCUUGGCACAGCUAAACCCUGGAACAUUGAACUGAAGUCAUAACAAUGGUCCCCAAC